rnacentral:rRNA from 1 species
UACAGAGGUCCCAAGCGUUGUCCGGAUUUAUUGGGCUUAAAGGGUGCGUAGGCGGCUUAUUAAGUCAGUGGUGAAAUACUCUAGCUCAACUAGAGGGGUGCCAUUGAUACUGAUGAGCUUGAGUACAGAUGAGGUAGGCGGAAUUGACGGUGUAGCGGUGAAAUGCUUAGAUAUCGUCAAGAACACCUAUAGCGAAGGCAGCUUACUAGGCUGUAACUGACGCUGAGGCACGAAAGUGUGGGGAUCAAACAGG